rfam:Clostridium sp. CAG:273 genomic scaffold, scf292
GGAGUGGUAUCGAAGUGGUCAUAACGAGGCUGAUUCGAAAUCAGUUAGUCAGUUUUAGCUGGCACGUGGGUUCGAAUCCCACUCACUCNN